AAAACUGACGUAGUUAAAGAUACCGUGGGUUCAAAUCCCACCUUAUCCU
rnacentral:tRNA from 1 species